ACGUAGGGUCCAAGCGUUAUCCGGAAUUACUGGGCGUAAAGAGUUGCGUAGGUGGCAGAGUAAGUUGGUAGUGAAAGCGUGUGGCUCAACCAUACAAACAUUAUCAAAACUGCUCAGCUAGAGGACAAGAGAGGUCACUGGAAUUCCUAGUGUAGGAGUGGAAUCCGUAGAUAUUAGGAGGAACACCAAUGGCGUAGGCAGGUGACUGGCUUGUUCCUGACACUAAGGCACGAAAGCGUGGGGAGCGAACCGGA
rnacentral:rRNA from 1 species